UACGAGGGGGGCAAAUGUUGUUCGGAAUCACUGGGCGUAAAGGGAGCGUAGGCGGGUUCUUAAGUAAGGUGUUUAAUCCCGGGGCCCAACCCCGGACCGGCACUUUAAACUGGGAAUCUUGAAUAGUGGAGAGGUCGGUGGAAUUGGGGUGUAGCGGUGGAAUGCGUAGAGAUCCCCAAGAACACCAGUUGCGAAGGCGGCCGACUGGACACAUAUUGACGCUGAGGCUCGAAAGCAUGGGAGCAAACAGG
rnacentral:rRNA from 1 species